UCCGGUUUGGCACCGGCAGUCUCCCUAGAGUUCCCGGCAUUACCCGCUGGCAACUAAGGACAGGGGUUGCGCUCGUUGCGCCACUUAAGGCAACACCUCACGGCACGAGCUGACGACAGCCAUGCACCACCUGUGCAGGCUCCGAAGAGCGCCCGCUUUCACGGGUUUCACCCUGCAUGUCAAGCCCAGGUAAGGUGGGGAUGACGUUCGUCUGAC
rnacentral:misc_RNA from 1 species